UGACCUGGGACAGUUAAAGAAACAGGGUAAUUUGUUUGUUUCCACUUUUGUUUUUUUUUCCCAGUUUUUGUUUGUCUUGUUUAAAGACUGGUUGUUCUUUACAGGCCAGUCUGAUUUUCUUUCUUUUUAAAAAAAUCUAUUUUAGGUUCUUAAACUGAUUAAAAAAGGUAUCGCGUUGACAUCAUACGCUGGAAAGCUGGUUGGGGUCAUCUGGGACAUGCUACUUCUGAUUCUUCAAUCCAUAGUGCUCUUUUUCGGAUUGUUUGCAGGACUUCACAAGCAUUGGAGGCCAUACAGAUUGGAGCCACUAAAGUACUGUCAAUGCUGUUGAUGACAGCAGAUUUCUUGCCACCAUAUUUUUCUGCAAGCAGCUUUGGUCUAGAUGAUAAACAGGUUGCUGAUUUGAAAUAUUCUGUAAGCUUUAUUCUACUAGAGCAAUCUGAAUAAAAUGAAGACUUAUUUGUUGCUACUGUCAAUCUUUUCACUGUUGCUGCUCGUUAUCAGCCUGCUUUUUUUAUUGUUGUAUUUGCCACCAAAGAGUUUAUGGACGUCCAACCAGGUAAUGCUAGUGAUGGGAAGCUGCCAGCAAUUGAGAUUUCCUCUGGGCCAGUAGAGUCUAAAAGUUCAAGCCUUGUAGAUGCAGUACUUUGUUAUGUUGUAAAUUCUGACA